rnacentral:rRNA from 1 species
UACGUAGGGUGCAAGCGUUGUCCGGAAUUAUUGGGCGUAAAGAGCUCGUAGGCGGUCUGUCGCGUCUGCUGUGAAAUCCCGGGGCUCAACCCCGGAACUGCCUUUGAUACUGGUAGUCUCGAGUCCGGAAGAGGAGAGUGGAAUUCCUGGUGUAGCGGUGAAAUGCGCAGAUAUCAGGAAGAACACCCGUGGCGAAGGCGGCUCUCUGGUACGUGACUGACGCUGAGACGCGAAAGCGUGGGGAGCGAACAGG